UACAGAGGUGGCAAGCGUUGUUCGGAUUCAUUGGGCGUAAAGGGUGCGUAGGUGGCGCUGUAAGUCAGGUGUGAAAUUUCGGAGCUUAACUCCGAAACUGCAUUUGAUACUGCGGUGCUUGAGGACUGGAGAGGAGACUGGAAUUCACGGUGUAGCAGUGAAAUGCGUAGAUAUCGUGAGGAAGACCAGUGGCGAAGGCGGGUCUCUGGACAGUUCCUGACACUGAGGCACGAAGGCCAGGGGAGCAAACGGG
rnacentral:rRNA from 1 species